GACGUGUUAACUCUGAACCAGUAAAAAUCAUAUUACAUUAAAAAUUUCUUGCUUUAAUUAUGAGUCUAUGAACAAGUUUUGUCUUUUACCAUAUAUAUUGGAGUUCCCAUGAUACAAACAUAUUUUUAUGCUUGGUUAAUUCUAUUUAAAAUCUGAAUGUUUUCAUGUAUUAGCUGCAAGUUUGACCAUAAGUUUCUUUUCAACAGAUGGUGUUUAAAGGAGUACGUCAGCUAAAAAACUGGUAGUGAACUCUGUAACUGACUAACUGGGGAGGUAGCAGCAGAGACAUAAGCCAUAAGGAUGUAUUGAUGAAGGGCAGUUCAAGAGGCCUUAGAGAAAAUCACAACACAGCAUAUGCAGCUAAGCGGGGCUAAGGUAAAAACAAUUUUGUUCAAUAUACACUAACGUUCAGAUAUAUAUUUCAGGUGGCGAGAAAUACAAACAUCCUUCACCAAAACUGAUGGCACAUAAUCUUUUGAGGAAAAGAACAGCGUACAAAAGUCUGUUUCAGCGACUUGUCACUGAAGUUCUUUGCUUACCAGAGAAAGUACCAUUGAAGAUAUGAAGGAGUUUGGUAGAUCUUCAAGACUCCGCUUUUGAGUAAUGUUGAUGCAAAUUAUGUUCUUUAGCUGGAUCACAUUAUUUUUUAUUUACUGUGGUACUAUAUGAAUUACUCAAAUGAGAAGCUUGGCAAGUAUCGUCGGUCGCCUAGAUCUACCUUGAAGUACUGGAGGAGCAACUAUAGUUGCAACACCGAGGAGGAGAAUGACGAGGGAGUAUAGAAUAACUUUAUCCAAACUAUUUUUGAACUCUCUGUUUUUCAUAUUUUUUUUAUAUAAUGAAUAAUGAGUUGUGAAGUUGAGGCACUCUCCUUCCAAGCAUGUGUUGCGUUUUCGUAAUUUAAAAGUUGGGUUUUAAAUUUUUAAUACAAAGUAAGAGUUAUGUUUGUUAUUGUGAUCAGCACCUUUUACAUUACUUUAUUUUCGUGUCUUUUCAUUUG